UUUCAUGGUGGCUGUGUGUGGGAGGCUUUCGAGUCUGCCGAUUUUCGUGUUCAUCGGUCUGCGAACCCGCGCACAGCUGCCACCCAU
rnacentral:antisense_RNA from 1 species